UAGCAAUGAAAGAGGUGGUGUUAGGCA
rnacentral:piRNA from 1 species